rnacentral:rRNA from 1 species
GAUGAACGCUGGCGGCGUGCUUAACACAUGCAAGUCGAGCGGAAAGGCCACUUCGGUGGUACUCGAGCGGCGAACGGGUGAGUAACACGUGAGUAAUCUGCCCCUGGCUUUGGGAUAGCCACCGGAAACGGUGAUUAAUACCGGAUAUGACCACUUCUCGCAUGGGUUGUGGUGGAAAGUUUUUCGGACAGGGAUGUGCUCGCGGCCUAUCAGCUUGAUGGUGAGGUAAUGGCUCACCAUGGCUUCGACGGGUAGCCGGCCUGAGAGGGUGACCGGUCACACUGGGACUGGGACACGGCCCAGACUCCUACGGGGGGCAGCAGUGGGGAAUAUUGGACAAUGGGCGGAAGCCUGAUCCAGCAACGCCGCGUGAGGGAUGACGGCCUUCGGGUUGUAAACCUCUUUCAGCAGGGACGAAGCGCAAGUGACGGUACCUGCAGAAGAAGCACCGGCCAACUACGUGCCAGCAGCCGCGGUAAAAC